ensembl:lncRNA
ACGGUUCGUGAUAUAUCCUGGGAAGAACUCCGCAUUUGCCAUUGCAACUUACCUAUGAUGAAUUUACGGCUGAGGGGGAAUAUUUCACUCAUGUUGGUUGCGUCAAUGUCACAUUUACAUAGGCCGUAUUAUUUGAAUUUGUGUCUGGUAGAUAGAAUUAUAAAAUAACGUUAUUAACCGGUUAAUGGUCAUUUAAAAAAAGUGUUACUAUUCAAUUUGAUUUAUUUCUGUUUCUGGUUUGUUCCUGUCAACAUUAUGUAACAUACUGUUUCUGUUUUCGAUCCUUGAACUGGUUCAGAGCCCUGGUGCAGACAGACGAUAUGAAGAACAGAGGAAAAACAUCAUAUAAGAAUUAGAAAAAAUGGGAUUAAAAAAGGGUAUAUUGGAAUGGGGUGAAUUACCAGGCAAAAGAACAGGACUGGAUAAGCAAAAUAAGACUUUAUUAAUCCAACACAGGGGUAACUCCAACGUGGAAACAGGAGGAAGACACACUAAUGUAACUUGUAGACCCGACAAACACAGACUGGACAGACUAGGUCUAGGACAGGGUUCUCCAACCCUGCUCCUGGAGAGCUACCGUCCUGCAGACAUCAGUUCCAACCCUGCUCCAAACACACCUGUCUGUAACUAUGAAGUAGCCCUGAACACCUUGAAUAGCUUGUUCAGGUGUGUUUGAUUAGGGUUGGAGCUGCAAUCUGUAGGACGGUAGCUCUCCAGGAGCAGGGUUGGAGACCACUGGUCUAGGACCUUUAAAGACAGGGUAAUUAGAAACACAGGUGAGUGGAAUGACUAAAUUAACAGGUACAUGGAACACAUGGGGAAGAAACUAGACACACCUGGGAACUAAU